GAUAACUGGCUUGUGGCAGCCAAGCGUUCAUAGCGACGUUGCUUUUUGACCCUUUGAAGUCGGCUCUUCCUAUCAGUAAGCAGAAUUCAGCAAGUGUUGGAUUGUUCACCCACCAAUAGGGAACGUGAGCUGGGUUUAGACCGUCGUGAGACAAGUU
rnacentral:rRNA from 1 species